GCCUUCGUGGUGUAGAGGUCAGGACGCUGGGCGCGUAUUCCAGAGGUCCGUGGUUCGAGUCCUGGCGAAGUCG
rfam:Stegodyphus mimosarum contig114201, whole genome shotgun sequence.